rnacentral:ncRNA from 1 species
UAUGGGUCUGUGGUUGAAAGUCGAUGCCAGUCGCAGGCGAAACGAUCCACGUAAGCGGGCAAAGCCCCGUGAGCAUGGUGCGGCUUAGAAGUAAGACCAACCGGAAAACCGAGAGAGGUAGUAGUGGGGAGCGACACGCUUAGGAGCGAACCCUCCAGUUGGCGAGUGUGGGGGCAAAAACCAGGUCAGCCAU